AUUUAGGGAAAUUUGACUGGUACAAAAUUGUCGAGUAUGCCCUACGGCUCUGCACCUGCCACACCUACGCGGUCGAGGAAACUCUCCGGUAGAUGAUAUUUUAGAUAUACUUGGACGUCAGGACCACAUGGUUCAACUGCUGGUGGUAACAAAUUAUGAAAUGGGAGAAUGUGCUCGGGAACUUCCCACUCGGCUUCAUUCGGCAGAGGAAAUAUAGUCUCAGCAUAUGCUGUUCUCCAACACUCAGUCGUAUAAUACAAAGAGCAUAACUUUCUCGCAGCAAAGUCUCGAUACAUGGCCACCGCAACUGCAUGCUCACAUGGAAAGCUCUCCAACUGAAAUCUCGUACAACUGCAUGUGUUAUCAGUCAAGUCCACCAUAUAUGCCAUAUUACGUGCACAUUGCACGGAGAAGCGAAACUCAUCUAGUGCUUCCACAUUCAACUUCCUCGCAACCUCUGCCGCCUUAAACAGUUUAUCCUCUUGAGCUGGGGCCAACACGCUACUGCAACUCUGUGAUGCCGUACGUUGGUCAUGAAACCACUGUUGUAACUUGUUACGAAUGUUCUCAAUCAUUCCGAUAAUUGGUAACUCUCGAUCCUUCUUAAACAAUGCAUUGAGAGACUCCGCGUUAUUCGUCGUCAUCAUGUUGUAUUGACGUCCUGGAAAGUAUGACCGCGCCCAAUGUUUGAUCCCCAUCUUCGUCAGAUACUCCAACGUCGGUAAUGAUUUACUUCCUAUCUCGAGCAUGAACUUAUUAUACUUUUCAGCACUGUAAGUUUCGGCUGCUCUCCUGAACAAUGAAACGAUGCCUGUGCCCCGAUACCUAGUCUUCAAAUUACCUUGUAUAUGGUACAUGCAAUACCCGUGAUGUGCCCCGGGAAAAAUUUCAACGAUAUCGUUUAUUAUAG
rnacentral:lncRNA from 1 species